GACGAACGCUGGCGGCGUGCCUAAUACAUGCAAGUAGAACGCUGAAGGAGGAGCUUGCUUCUCUGGAUGAGUUGCAAACGGGUAAGUAACGCGUAGACAACCUCACUCGUAGCGGGGGAUAACGAUUAGAAACGAUAACUAAUACCACAACAUAGUAGAUGUUACAUGCCAUUUGCUUAAAAGAUGCAAUUGCAUCACUACCAGAUAGACCUGCGUUGUAUUAGCUGGUUGGGGGGGUAACGGCUCAACAAGGCGACGAUACAUAGCCGACCUGAGAGGGUGAUCGGCCACACUGGGACUGAGACACGGCCCAGACUCCUACGGGAGGCAGCAGUAGGGAAUCUUCGGCAAUGGCCGGAAGUCUGACGGAGCAACGCCGCGUGAGUGAUGAAGGUCUUCGGAUCGUAAAGCUCUGUUGUAAGAGAAGAACGGGUAUAAGACUAGAAAGUUCACACUGUGACGGUAUCUGACCAGAAAGGCACGGCUAACUACGUG
rnacentral:rRNA from 1 species